rnacentral:rRNA from 1 species
CCUACGGGGGGCUGCAGUGGGGAAUAUUGGACAAUGGGCGAAAGCCUGAUCCAGCCAUGCCGCGUGUGUGAAGAAGGCCUUCGGGUUGUAAAGCACUUUCAGUGGGGAAGAAAGCCUUGGGGCUAAUACCCUCGAGGAAGGACAUCACCCACAGAAGAAGCACCGGCUAACUCCGUGCCAGCAGCCGCGGUAAUACGGAGGGUGCGAGCGUUAAUCGGAAUUACUGGGCGUAAAGCGCGCGUAGGCGGUCUGAUAAGCCGGUUGUGAAAGCCCCGGGCUCAACCUGGGAACGGCAUCCGGAAACGUCAGGCUAGAGUGCAGGUGAGGAAGGUAGAAUUCCCGGUGUAGCGGUGAAAUGCGUAGAGAUCGGGAGGAAUACCAGUGGCGAAGGCGGCCUUCUGGACUGACACUGACGCUGAGGUGCGAAAGCGUGGGUAGCAAACAGGAUUAGAUAACCUAGUAGUC